AUCGCUUCUCGGCCUUUUGGCUAAGAUCAAGUGUAGUAUUGCUUCCUUUAUGAUAGUGUCUGAUAGAUUUCCCAAGGUAAAAAUAUAACUUUC
rnacentral:snRNA from 1 species